UCCAAUCGUGGUUGUCGAUGUCACCUCGACUAUCUGCACAACAGCAAGGACGAGCAAUCGUGAUAACAUUAAAUUGACAUUUAAUAAAAAUACUGAUUCAUAUUCUUUCUCUCUCUCUCCAGGAUGGCACAGUGAACUGUGUUCACAGACCGGGAUUUCUAGAAGCGUUCCAGUGAUUUCCAUGACAGAAUCGUGUCUGUUUUCAAUGCAGUGCUGCCUGAGAGCCCCAAGAUCGCAGAUCCAGUUGGUGAACCUCUGCUCAUCUUUACACCUGAGAAACUGCCUCCCUGAGAUACUCUUUUUAUCUCAUGUUACUGACCUGUUGCAGUUAACUUAAUUAGUUGGAAAUGUCCCUCCUUGCUGCCAUCAAAUUCAAAAUGAGCUAAUAUUAUUUAUCAAAUAGCAAAAUGUCAGUUUAAACAUUUAUUUUUUCUAUGAUCUAUUGUGAAUAAAAUACAGGUUUAUAAGCUCUGCA